rnacentral:rRNA from 1 species
UACGGGGGGGGCAAGCGUUGUCCGGAAUCAUUGGGCGUAAAGAGCGUGUAGGCGGCUGGUAAGUCCGCUGUGAAAGUCCAGGGCUCAACCCUGGAAUGCCGGUGGAAACUGUCGAGCUAGUGUCCGGAAGAGGCGAGUGGAAUUCCUGGUGUAGCGGUGAAAUGCGCAGAUAUCAGGAGGAACACCAAUGGCGAAGGCAGCUCGCUGGGACGGUACUGACGCUGAGACGCGAAAGCGUGGGGAGCAAACAGG